AGAGUUUGAUCAUGGCUCAGAUUGAACGCUGGCGGCAGGCCUAACACAUGCAAGUCGAACGGUAACAGGAAACAGCUUGCUGUUUCGCUGACGAGUGGCGGACGGGUGAGUAAUGUCUGGGAAACUGCCUGAUGGGGGGGGAUAACUACUGGAAACGGUAGCUAAUACCGCAUAACGUCGCAAGACCAAAGAGGGGGACCUUCGGGCCUCUUGCCAUCGGAUGUGCCCAGAUGGGAUUAGCUUGUUGGUGGGGUAACGGCUCACCAAGGCGACGAUCCCUAGCUGGUCUGAGAGGAUGACCAGCCACACUGGAACUGAGACACGGUCCAGACUCCUACGGGAGGCAGCAGUGGGGAAUAUUGCACAAUGGGCGCAAGCCUGAUGCAGCCAUGCCGCGUGUAUGAAGAAGGCCUUCGGGUUGUAAAGUACUUUCAGCGGGGAGGAAGGGAGUAAAGUUAAUACCUUUACUCAUUGACGUUACCCGCAGAAGAAGCACCGGCUAACUCCGUGCCAGCAGCCGCGGUAAUACGGAGGGUGCAAGCGUUAAUCGGAAUUACUGGGCGUAAAGCGCACGCAGGCGGUUUGUUAAGUCAGAUGUGAAAUCCCCGGGCUCAACCUGGGAACUGCAUCUGAUACUGGCAAGCUUGAGUCUCGUAGAGGGGGGUAGAAUUCCAGGUGUAGCGGUGAAAUGCGUAGAGAUCUGGAGGAAUACCGGUGGCGAAGGCGGCCCCCUGGACGAAGACUGACGCUCAGGUGCGAAAGCGUGGGGAGCAAACAGGAUUAGAUACCCUGGUAGUCCACGCCGUAAACGAUGUCGACUUGGAGGUUGUGCCCUUGAGGCGUGGCUUCCGGAGCUAACGCGUUAAGUCGACCGCCUGGGGAGUACGGCCGCAAGGUUAAAACUCAAAUGAAUUGACGGGGGCCCGCACAAGCGGUGGAGCAUGUGGUUUAAUUCGAUGCAACGCGAAGAACCUUACCUGGUCUUGACAUCCACGGAAGUUUUCAGAGAUGAAUUUGUGCCUUCGGGAACCGUGAGACAGGUGCUGCAUGGCUGUCGUCAGCUCGUGUUGUGAAAUGUUGGGUUAAGUCCCGCAACGAGCGCAACCCUUAUCCUUUGUUGCCAGCGGUCCGGCCGGGAACUCAAAGGAGACUGCCAGUGAUAAACUGGAGGAAGGUGGGGAUGACGUCAAGUCAUCAUGGCCCUUACGACCAGGGCUACACACGUGCUACAAUGGCGCAUACAAAGAGAAGCGACCUCGCGAGAGCAAGCGGACCUCAUAAAGUGCGUCGUAGUCCGGAUUGGAGUCUGCAACUCGACUCCAUGAAGUCGGAAUCGCUAGUAAUCGUGGAUCAGAAUGCCACGGUGAAUACGUUCCCGGGCCUUGUACACACCGCCCGUCACACCAUGGGAGUGGGUUGCAAAAGAAGUAGGUAGCUUAACCUUCGGGAGGGCGCUUACCACUUUGUGAUUCAUGACUGGGGUGAAGUCGUAACAAGGUAACCGUAGGGGAACCUGCGGUUGGAUCACCU
rnacentral:rRNA from 1 species